CAGCCAGCAACUGCUACCCUCUUUGGGUCCCCUCCAUUUGUAUGCGAGCUCUGUUUUCACUCUAUUUCACUCUAUUAAAUCUCCCAACUGCACUCUUCUGGUCUGUGUUUGUUACGGCUGGAGCUGAGCUUUCGCUCGCCGUCCACCAUUGCUGUUUGCCGCCGCCACAGACCUGCCGCUGACUUCCAUCCCUCCGGAUCCGGCAGGGUGUCUGCUGUGCUCCUGAUCCAGUGAGGCGCCCCUUGCCGCUCCCGAUUGGGCUAACGGCUUGAGAUUGCUCCUGCACGGCUAAGUGCCCAGGCAAUGACACUCCAACAGCAAUGAGCAUGUCUAAUGCAGAAAUCUUGGUUUCUAACACCAUCCUUCAAUAAAAGGAAUCAAGGAUCCUUGGAGAAGCAGGUGAUUGUAAGACGGGCAGAAGAUAUACAAGACGACCCUGCAGCAUCUUGUAGUGCCUGAAAGUUUGCCACAAAUUCUUUCUUGUGUGAGAUCCAAGAACCCACUCUUUGGAUGUGGAUCCAGACCCCUUUCCGGUAACAUCUUCCUGGUGAACCAUGAAGGGAUGAUACUGAGGAGGCCAUGACCCGAAGGAAAUAGAC
rnacentral:lncRNA from 10 species